rnacentral:rRNA from 1 species
GAUCCUGGCUCAGAUUGAACGCUGGCGGCAGGCCUAACACAUGCAAGUCGAGCGGUAGCACAGAGAGCUUGCUCUCGGGUGACGAGCGGCGGACGGGUGAGUAAUGUCUGGGAAACUGCCUGAUGGAGGGGGAUAACUACUGGAAACGGUAGCUAAUACCGUAUAAUGUCGCAAGACCAAAGUGGGGGGACCUUCGGGCCUCAUGCCAUCAGAUGUGCCCAGAUGGGAUUAG